rnacentral:lncRNA from 1 species
UGAGCUGAUAACUCUUGACUGGCAAAUUUAGAUAACUGCAGCUUAGAAAAGAGAAAAUUACCCCAAGCUAACUGAAACCAAAGCUUCCACGCUACUUCAAGAUGCUAAUACCUUCUCAACUUCACAAACACUACACUCACAUCUGUAGUGCUAUUUUACAGGUAAGAGAUCCAAAUCAGCAAAUACAACGAAUGCUUAUAAAACAUAAGCCGAACUAUAGAACAUUAUCAAACCACUGUAUGACUAUAAUUGACUACUUCUUAGAACCUCCUUGAUCUCAUCCCUUCUCAUGUUUGGUGGGUUCAUUGGCUGGAUAGCAAAAUAUCAUUGUGCAACCAAAAAUUUGCUCACGUUACACAAAAAUUCCACUAGUCAUAACACCUAUGCACGCCAUUUAAAGCUCAUGGGCAGUUACACAUAAAGAAAGCCAGAAAACAUGGAAGAGAGACCCUCUACGUGAUUUUGAAUGAGCCAAUCGCCUAACAACAUGGAAUAUAGAUAGAAACACCUACAAGGGAAAACGCAGAAACUUGUACUUAUAGUGCUCCAUAGGAGAAGUUGCAAGAAAAGAUGAUGUGAUGCUAGUACCAGAGAUGAGGUUUACUUUGUUACAACAAAAUCAAAGAUCAUUGACAUCCAACAAAACCAUCAUACUACCUCAGGCAAAACCCGAAAGAAAUUGGCAUAACCUAAACAGGAAGUUCUUGGAUACCUCAGGAAACCAACAAAAUUGAGAAUUUACAGCUACAUCAAACUUCAAAAUAAAUCUCCAAACUCAAGAACUUCCAAGCACAAGAGGCCAAGUAUUCUGCAAGACAUUCUUUUCUGAAACUGACAGAUCUGCUCAUUCUCCAUACAAUUAUAGAGCAAAAUCAGAACUUAAGAGUACAACUGCUCCAACAAAUACAGACCUAUCCAAUUCUGUAAAUACCCAAUAAAUCAUCAACCAUCUCUGGUCACCGAGGAAAUGAACAGAUAAUAAUGAUAAAAACCACAUAAGAAUUAUCUUUGACUCCUCCCUACUACCAGCUUCCAACACCUACAAACCAUGGGGUAGAAACCUGCAAUUGGGACAAAAUUGAAACCCACUAGAUCAGACAAGACAACUAGCAGAAGAAAAGUACCCGAGUUGCUUGACAUCCCCAUUAUGACAAAGCAGGGAUGUUUAUAGAGUAAUGGGAUGAAACAGAACUUCUCCAGAUAUUAACCUUGAAUCAGCUAAAGGAGUACAUGGCUGGAAUAUCACUUUUAUAAGAUUAUUACAUGACUGGAAUUGGAAAGAAUCGUGGCCUUGUUCAAGAUCUUGGAAUCUUUCCAGGACUUCAAAGAAUCUGAGGAUAGGUUGUGCUAGAAAUCUUAAAGUGAUGGAGUCUACACUGUCAAAUUUGUGCAUACAACUACCAGAUUAGACAAAAUGCACAAUUUGACCAGUGGUCAUGGAAGUUCAUUUGGAAGACUAAGGCCCCUUACAAAGUCUUAUUUUUUUCUUGGUUUGUAGAAAGAGAAGCAUGUCUCACUCAAGAAAACUUGAGAAGAAGGGGAUUUCAUCUAUGCUCUUAAUGUUGUAUGUGUGGUGCAACUGGAGAAAACAAUAGCCAUUGGUUUCUACAUUGUGUGGCGACUUUUUUUUAAAUUGGAAGGACUAAGAUGGUAUAUGCCAGCAACAAGCUGUGAAUUAUUUAAGUGUUGGAACUAUAAUGGUAGUGCAAUGAGACAAAAAAAAGUGUUGGGAACUUAUCCUAGCUUGUACAAUUUGGGGGUGGAAGCGUAAAGAGAGAGUAUUCAGAAAGAAGAGAGAUGUAAGGAUGAAGGUGUGUUUUAUUUAUGAGGAAAGCUCCUCUAUUUAUAUACAUAAAUUACACCGUCAUACUAUUUACUUUACAUAAGUGGCCGACAAACUUUUUACAUGAUUGGCCGACAAACUAUUUACUUUACGACUUUUGUACAUUUGGCUUUUUUCAGCCGACGCAAGAC